UCUUUUGGACUGUGGCAGCCUCCAGUAGAUGGAAUGAGCCGGCACUCCUCAUUCUCUUCUGGAGAGCCUGAACCCAUGGAGGUACGGGCCACACACCUUUCCUAGGCAGAGUAGCAUCGCCAGAGACAGCUGGGGCUCUGUCCCUGUUGCGGCCAGGAGGGGCACCAGCUUCAGCGUUGUCUGGUGUGUUGCAACUCAGAGUUAGGGCAGAGACGAUUACCUCGUAAUCUUCCAUCUCCAGGGUAGGUGUGAGUUUUCCAUCAUCGUUUUCCACCUUACCCUUUCUGGUUCCCAUUUUACUGGCUGGCUGUCCCUCAAGUGUGGUCUCUACAGCUCUAAUGGACUCCGGGGCCGCAGGGAACUUCAUCGCCCAGGACUUGGCUUACUCCCUGACCAUAAAUUGGCAUCCGCUUUCCUCUCCUUUUCCAGUCCAAGCCCAGGAAAAGCAACCAUUGGGAUCCGGCAUAAUCACACACAUUACAGCACCACUCACCCUCACCAUGGGACCCAUGCACCAGGAAAGCCUUCCCUUCCUUAUCAUAACUGCACAAAGUCAUCAUCACAAAGUCAUCCUUGCCCCCCCCCAUGCCUCCAAUGUCAUAACCCCACCAUCUCCUGGUCGAGGAUAAAAAUCACUGCCUGAAGACCUUCUUUCCUGUAACCUGUGGUUCCACACCAGUUGAGAGUCCCGAAAGUGCCCUCCAGCCCAUCAGUCGGUCCUCCCGUAUCAUUGGCCCUGUGAUUUGUGACGUAGAUGUGGACAUCCGGCAGGCUCUGGGGAAGGAAUCCCCUCCUGCUACCGGCACUCCAGAACGCAUCUAUGUCACCACGGGGGUAAGAGAUCGGCUGUUCACCUGGGCACACGCAUUCCUCGCCUCUGGACACCCAGGUAUCACUUGCACUAUCCAAUCCCUCUCUGAAAAGUACUGGUGGCCCACCUUGGCGCAGGGCAUCGCCUGCUAUGUCAACUCCUGCUCCAUAUGUACCCAAACCGAAUCACCCCGGCACGCUCCAGCAGAGAAACUACUUCCCCUUCCCGUGCCUCAGGGCCCUGGUCCCAUCUGUCCAUAGACUUCGCUCCACAAGGAACUUCCAGCUCCGCCUGCCCUCCCGGAAGCUGAGCCCCCCAGUUUGUGGGGCCCUUCACGGUCCUCCGAAGGGUCAAUGAGGUCGGUGGUUCCCGGUCCACUGGCUGAUGCGUCCCCCAUGACACCACUCCACCUCAACUGAACAUUGAUGGGACCCCUACCUAUGCCGUCAGGUCCCUAUUGGACUCCCGACGUCAGCUUCAGUACCUGGUGGACUGGGAGGGGUGCGGUCCAGAGGAAAGCUGUUGUGUUUCGGACGACGACAUCCUAGACCCCAACAUUGUCCAGGAUUUCCAUCUCCGCCUUCUCAUUGCCCUAGGGCCGUCCUCCUGGUCGGCAUCUUCGGGAGGGGGUACUGUCACACCUACUCCCGCUCCCUCUCUCCAAAACCGGCUCUAUAAGUCAUAGCUACUAUCUAGGUUUAUUAUUAUCAUUUUUUAUUAUAACCGGUGUUGCAAAAGGCCUGUGACAUACCUAGCGUUCUUUUUCUUUGUGGAAAUUGUUAGUUUUUGACUAAAGAAUGUGUAAUGCUUAGGAGAGAUGGUAAUCCAUGAUUCAGAUCAGGAGGAUUGAGAUUGUGAGUCAUUUUCAUAGUCUCACAAAAGGACAAAUGUUCCUGUAUUUGCUGUCACCUCAACUGUUGCUCGUCAGCAACAACCUUAUGAAGUGUUGUUAGUCAGCUGAAACCCUCACUCAUUCAAAGUGACCUUGUUUUAGCAGAAGGGUCGACUUCAGGAGUAAACGUUAUUUAUAAUAAGGGUUACACAGAGAAAAUCGGACAUCUCUGAAAUGGAAAUGGAUGUAUCUACCUUCAGCAAAUUAUAUUUUACCUAAACCUUCACUGAACGCUUGAUAAAAAAACAAGUGACACUCCUCAUGCCCCAACAAUUAUUAAAACAAAGUGGAUAACAGAACAUCCUUACAGUUUAACCUCACCUCUUGGAGACACCAGAGCCUUAGAUAUGCCGUUUCAGAAACUGUUCUUCGUCCUGUCAGCACUACAUGGCAACGCAGGAAUUUUGAUAGCGGACAGGGCUGCGGGCCAGAAGGUUGUGUUUUCACAGACACCUAUGGACAAGAGUAAGGUUGGAAAGAUCUAAUUCAUAGUAAAAGCAUUGCAUGAGUCUAUCAUCGUAUUUGCAGAAAAAUUUGCCAUUAUAAACAAUUCAUGCAACUCUACGGAAUUUUACAUAUUAGCAGAAUAUUUUUUAAUAUUACACAAAUUACUCAAAUUACAGGCUAAGAAUGGACAUGGAGAUAGCCCUAUGUGUUCAUCUUAUCCAGUGAUGACCUGUCAUUCAGGGCAGCUUGGUUUUUCAUGUUUAGCUUUGUUUGAGCCUCACCUAUUUUGCAUGUUAAUCUGGCAAUAUGUGUCACAUAUCAGUUUGCAAACAAUGUACAAAGAAUAGAAAAGAAAAAACAUUAAGUUAAUAAAACCACAUACAAACA